UACGGGGGGGGCAAGCGUUGCUCGGAAUUACUGGGCGUAAAGGGCUCGUAGGCGGCCAACUAAGUCCGACGUGAAAUCCCCCGGCUUAACCUGGGAACUGCGUCUGAUACUGGGAGGCUUGAGUAUGGGAGAGGGAUGUAGAAUUCCAGGUGUAGCGGUGAAAUGCGUAGAUAUCUGGAGGAAUACCGGUGGCGAAGGCGGCAUCCUGGACCAUAACUGACGCUGAGGCGCGAAAGCUAGGGGAGCAAACGGG
rnacentral:rRNA from 1 species